rnacentral:rRNA from 1 species
GAUGAACGCUGGCGGCGUGCCUAAUACAUGCAAGUCGAACGAAACUUCUUUAUCACCGAGUGCUUGCACUCACCGAUAAAGAGUUGAGUGGCGAACGGGUGAGUAACACGUGGGCAACCUGCCCAAAAGAGGGGGAUAACACUUGGAAACAGGUGCUAAUACUGCAUAAUCAUAGUUACCGCAUGGUAACUCUGUAAAAGGUGGAUAUACUACCGCCUUUGGUUGGGCCCGCGGCGCUUUAGCUAGUUGGUAGGGUCAAGGCUUACCAAGGCAAUGAUGCGUAGCCGAAUUGAGAGGUUGAUCGGCCACAUUGGGACUGAGACACGGCCCAAACUCCUACGGGAGGCAGCAGUAGGGAAUCUUCCACAAUGGGCGAAAGCCUGGUGGAGCAACGCCGCGUGAGUGAAGAAGAUCUUCGGAUCGUAAAACCCUGUUGUUAGAGAAGAAAGUGCGUGAGAGUAACUGUUCACGUUUCGACGGUAUCUAACCAGAAAGCCACUGCUAACUACGUG